rnacentral:rRNA from 1 species
CUUGAGUAACUAUAAGAGGUCCAGCCUGCCCAGUGACUUUGUUCAACGGCCGCGGUAUCCUAACCGUGCGAAGGUAGCGUAAUCACUUGUCUUUUAAAUGGGGACUUGUAUGAACGGCAUCACGAGGGUUAUACUGUCUCCUUUUUCUAAUCAGUGAAACUAAUCUUCCCGUGAAGAAGCGGGAAUAAACAUAUAAGACGAGAAGACCCUAUGGAGCUUUAAACUCAAUAACAAAUACUGACCUUACAUCAACUUUCAGAAGAUUCACCUUAAUUUUAGUAUUAUGAUUAUUAGUUUUAGGUUGGGGUGACCGCGGAGUAAAAAUUAACCUCCAUAUUGAACGGGACCUAUCCCUGAGCCAAGAACUACAGCUCAAAGCACCAACAAAUUGACAUUAAUUGACCCAAUAUUUUGAUCAACGAAC